rnacentral:rRNA from 1 species
AGGCGCGAAAACUUUACAAUGCGGGAAACCGUGAUAAGGGGAUCUCGAGUGCCAGCAUAUUAUGUUGGCUGUCCAAAUGCCUAAAAAGCAUUUGAUAGCAAGGGCCGGGCAAGACCGGUGCCAGCCGCCGCGGUAACACCGGCGGCCCGAGUGGUAACCGUUAUUAUUGGGUCUAAAGGGUCCGUAGCCGGCCAAGUAAGUCCCUUGGGAAAUCUGGCAGCUUAACUGUCAGGCUGCCAGGGGAUACUGCUUGGCUUGGGACCGGGAGAGGUGAGAGGUACCUCAGGGGUAGGGGUGAAAUCUUGUAAUCCUUGAGGGACCACCAGUGGCGAAGGCGUCUCACCAGAACGGGUCCGACGGCAAGGGACGAAAGCUAGGGGCACGAACCGGAUUAGAUACCCGGGUAGUCCUAGCCGUAAACGAUACUCGCUAGGUGUCAGCCACGGUGCGACCGUGGUUGGUGCCGUAGGGAAGCCGUGAAGCGAGCCACCUGGGAAGUACGGCCGCAAGGCUGAAACUUAAAGGAAUUGGCGGGGGAGCACUACAACGGGUGGAGCCUGCGGUUUAAUUGGAUUCAACGCCGGAAAGCUCACCGGGGGCGACAGCAAUAUGAAGGUCAGGCUGAAGACCUUACCGGAUUCGCUGAGAGGUGGUGCAUGGCCGUCGUCAGUUCGUACUGUGAAGCAUA